UACCGGUCUAGUGUUUUCCAACGGUUUAUUAGCGGUGGUAUCUAAUAAAUCGCGGUCUAAUCAAUACUUCAUUCACUGCCUCUUCCGUGGUCAUUACGAUAUUAUGAAUCGACUGCGUCUGGUUCUCCGCCGUCCCUCCCUCUUCCACAACAGACUCACCGUCACCCUGGAAAGAGGGGAGAGAGCACUUACUGGAUGAACUCGAUGAAUUGACACUUCAGGGCUGGAUGCUUCACGACAAGAGUCUCUACCGUGUUUCUACUACUAAGAAGGGCUGGAGGGCCAGUAGAGAAGACUGUCAGAAGAGAAAGGCAGACCUGGUGGUCAUCAACAG
ensembl:lncRNA